UACAGAGGAGGCAAGCGUUGUUCGGAAUUACUGGGCGUAAAGGGCGCGUAGGCGGCCUUCUAAGUCGAACAUGAAAUCCCUGGGCUCAACCCAGGAACUGCGUCCGAUACUGGGAGGCUUGAAUCCGGGAGAGGGAUGUGGAAUUCCAGGUGUAGCAGUGAAAUGCGUAGAUAUCUGGAGGAACACCGGUGGCGAAGGCAGCAUCCUGGACCGAUAUUGACGCUGAUGCGCGAAAGCCAGGGGAGCAAACGGG
rnacentral:rRNA from 1 species